UACGGAGGGGUCUAGCGUUGUUCGGAAUUACUGGGCGUAAAGCGCACGUAGGCGGCUUUGUAAGUCAGGGGUGAAAUCUCGGGGCUCAACCCCGGAACUGCCUUUGAUACUGCGAAUCUCGAGUCCGGGAGAGGUGAGUGGAAUUCCUAGUGUAGAGGUGAAAUUCGUAGAUAUUAGGAAGAACACCAGUGGCGAAGGCGGCUCACUGGUCCGGUACUGACGCUGAGGCACGAAAGCGUGGGGAGCAAACAGG
rnacentral:rRNA from 1 species